CGCGAAACAAGGCGAGCUACCAAGUGGCGUAUAGUAGUACUUUCCUAUGUGGCAUAAUAGUAAGAGAUCUCGUGGUAGGGGUGAGAGGCUUCCACGUCUUGUGAUAACUCGAUAGCUCCGAAGUGUACUAGUACAAAGACAACCUGUUAGUGAAAAGACUAGCAGGUCUCAUUUAACUUUGUAGUUAAUUUGUGCGUGAUAUAAUAGUCUGCAUAGGCUUUAGCCACCAUAAAUGUAAAAACUUAGUGGUGUCUAGGGGCCACUAUAAAACAAUACAAGAUACUUAUAAUGUGGGCAUUAGUAAUAAAGAUAUUGUUUAUGAACUCGGCAAUAUUUUCUUUAGCUGUUUACCAAAAACAUCGCCAGUAGGUGUCACUAUUGGUUAGUUCUGCUCAAUGGUUCUAAAUAGCCGCAGUACCCUGACUGUGCAAAGGUAGCAUAAUCAUUUGGCUUAUAAUUGAAGUCUUGUAUGAAUGAAUCUAUAGGGGAAAACUAUAUUUGCAAUAUAAGUUGAAUUUAUCUUGUAAGUGCAAACCCUUACAUAUAAAUAAUAGACGAGAAGACCCUAGAAAUUUUUUAUAAAAAUGUCCUGUAAAAUUUUUGUUGGGGCAACAUGGUAGCACUUUCAACCUACAGUAUUUAACAUGGAAAAUGUUUAGGUAGAUAAAAUUACUCUAGGGAUAACAGCGUAAUUUAUGUUAAGUUUGCGACCUCGAUGUUGGACUAGGAAGCAAUUGCUUAGAA
rnacentral:rRNA from 1 species